UUGCUUCAAACUUCUCGGAGCCAGAAUCCCAUAUCAACCACAUUAUGAAAAAAUGAAUCUAUGGACACACAAGACUGGGGUUGAUAAAAGCAACGAUCAACAAAUUAUGGUUUCCAAGCAGCUGGCGGAGGUGGUGGAGUAGGGAACAUGGGUGGUACUGCUGAGAAUAUCGUGUUCUUGUCAAUUCCAACACUCUUAUCUCCAGAUAGAGCUACGAGGGCUGCAACCAAACCGGCAUUUCCAGCAAGUGUUGGCUCGGUAUAAUUGUAAUUAGUACGAACAUCAUGGAAACCAUCAUUCUUGUCUGGCCCAGCAACCAUGGCUCCAACAAGAG